rnacentral:rRNA from 1 species
CAGUCGCCGCGGGAAUACAGAGGGUGCGAGCGUUAAUUGGAUUUACUGGGCGUAAAGCGUGCGUAGGCGGCUUUUUAAGUCGGAUGUGAAAUCCCUGAGCUUAACUUAGGAAUUGCAUUCGAUACUGGGAAGCUAGAGUAUGGGAGAGGAUGGUAGAAUUCCAGGUGUAGCGGUGAAAUGCGUAGAGAUCUGGAGGAAUACCGAUGGCGAAGGCAGCCAUCUGGCCUAAUACUGACGCUGAGGUACGAAAGCAUGGGGAGCAAACAGGAUUAGAGACCCCCGUAGUCCCUGUCUCUUAUAC